GGUUCCAUAGUGUAGUGGUUAUCACAUUUGCUUUACAUGCAGAUGGUCUUGGGUUCAAGUCCCAGUGGAAAUA